GUUAAAGUGGAUUUCGCGCUCUUGCUUAAUAAUCUAAGCAGCGUCAACACAGUAACGACGGCUAAAAUCAGACUGGUGUGUCCCCGUUCUCUUGACUAUCUAGAUUCCUAUGAAGAAAGGAGAAAUCGAAAACGUGGUGGAAAGGCACGAAGUCUGCUUCACGGGCUGAUCAAAUUUAUCAAGGAAAUAGUACUGAGGUGCAAGGGACUAGGCCACGAAGAGAGAGAGUCUGUUCCAUCAAGGAGCCUGCUGUCUUGAGGUGGAUGUAGCCAGGCCCUUACAAACAACUGAGAAACUCUGCAUGAGAGGUACAGGCCCGAAGGAAAGGACAGCUCAGUCCUGGAACUGACCUCUGUGUCAGCCGCUGGAAAGCUUUUUCUGACUUCCUCAUCCAUCAGAGGUAGCCGCUCCCUCUCUGAGCUCCAGCAGGACCGUGUCUGUAACAGUGACUAGCCUGACUUCCGGCAUGUUGGCCACGGCUCGGACCGCGCACCUGUUAGCGCGCAAGGCCGUGGGGCCGCAGAAAUCCAAGACUUGAGGUUCUCCUGCAGAACUGCCAUCGACAGCUUGAGGCUCCAUCCCCCCUCCCAGGAAAGAUGGCAAAUGUGGGCUUGCUGGCACAAAAGAAGGAAAUUAAAGC
rnacentral:lncRNA from 1 species